rnacentral:rRNA from 1 species
UGCAGUCGACGGUAGCACAGAGGAGCUUGCUCCUUGGGUGACGAGUGGCGGACGGGUGAGUAAUGUCUGGGAAACUGCCCGAUGGAGGGGGAUAACUACUGGAAACGGUAGCUAAUACCGCAUAACGUCGCAAGACCAAAGAGGGGGACCUUCGGGCCUCUUGCCAUCGGAUGUGCCCAGAUGGGAUUAGCUAGUAGGUGGGGUAACGGCUCACCUAGGCGACGAUCCCUAGCUGGUCUGAGAGGAUGACCAGCCACACUGGAACUGAGACACGGUCCAGACUCCUACGGGAGGCAGCAGUGGGGAAUAUUGCACAAUGGGCGCAAGCCUGAUGCAGCCAUGCCGCGUGUAUGAAGAAGGCCUUCGGGUUGUAAAGUACUUUCAGCGAGGAGGAAGGGUGUUGUGGUUAAUAACCGCAGCAAUUGACGUUACUCGCAGAAGAAGCACCGGCUAACUCCGUGCCAGCAGCCGCGGUAAUACGGAGGGUGCAAGCGUUAAUCGGAAUUACUGGGGCGUAAAGCGCACGCAGGCGGUCUGUCAAGUCGGAUGUGAAAUCCCCGAGCUCAACCUGGGAACUGCAUCCGAAACUGGCAGGCUAGAGUCUUUGUAAAGGGGGGGGUUAAGAUUCCAGGUGGUAGGCGGGUGAAAUGCCCGUAGAGAUCUGGAGGAAAUACCGGGUGGGCGGAAGGCGGGCCCCCCUGGACAAAGACUGACGCUCAGGUGCGAAAGGCGUGGGGGAGCAAACAGGAUAGAUAC